UUGGCUAUCACAUGAGCUCAGGUGUGCAGAACAUGAGCAGCCCCCCUUGAGCCUCGCUUGCUUCCAGGAGCUGAAGGGAUUUGUGCCAGAAAAGGAGAAGCUGGACCUGCAGGGACUUUCUCUUGCUCCUUUUUGUCACUCAGCCUGUAAGUAGCACUUCUAUGGCCAGAUGAACAAGUGCCGAAAGAGACAGGCUUCUAGCUCCCAGGAUAAACCUCUCCUUUGUCCUUUAUGCUCAGGGAGCUCAGAACUGUAGCUGAAACUUUCAGUAAGGCCAGCCUAAGGUGUGAGGCAUGCCACACACCCACAGAGCUUCCGGGUGAGCCUUAGGACUUCCUCCACUGUGGAUGUCACCAUGAAGGUGGCGUCAUGCUGAGAGCUGAUGCUCUGUGCGGCACCUGGAGUUGGAGGAGGAAGAGCAGAGUCCAGGGAAGAAGGUACCCAGCAUUUAGGCACGGGAGUUUCCAGCCUCUUUCACAUCCCUGGGCACUGGCUAUGCUGGGGCCUGCACCAAGCCGGGAGAGGUCACCUGAGGGGUGGCUCUGAAGUUCAUCUUGCUGCUCAGGGGUUGCCAACCAGGAUAGCCCAGGAAGAGCUGGAUACUACCUCCUCCUCCAAGUGCAGCCUGUCUGUGACCCACAUCACACUUUCCAAGCGGAGAAGUUAGGCUUCUUCUUCAGUCCCUGGGAGUGCUGGACACUGGAGUGGAUGAGAGGAGACACAGCCAAGGAGAAGCGAACAAUCUAUUGUCCAAACCUCUGGAGGUACUGGUGAGGAUGAACUGAUGAGGGACUGUAGCAAGGUAAAGAGCCAGUCUGGAGCAAGGCUCCAGUCCUGGGUCUGAUGGCAAGUGGGGAGAAGACUAAAGUGGUUGUGUCAUGGUUAAUGAAUUUGAGAUGUACAAAAUACAUUAUGAAAGAUCAAUUUGACAGGAAAAUACAUUAGGCUUGACUUUAGACAAU
rnacentral:lncRNA from 1 species